ACAGUCACCCCUGUCUCCGGUUUUGUUGACAAACCACAGGAAGAAUUCGAUACAUACCUCAAAGAUCUGGACGACUUCGUGGCCAAAAAUUGUACAUACCCAGAGAGGAACUGUGAUCUAAGAAUAAAGAAAUAUAACAUUCUUGACCCUGAAAUAAAAGAAGUUGUUCGGAGCGACGCCAUUUUUCCUACCGGUAUCUAUGGAGACACGGGCGAUCGACUUCCGCCUCCGCCUGUUCCUGCACGCGGGAAAUCUCUGAGGAAAAAGGAGGAAAAUGCUGGCAAUGAAGAUGAUCUAUAUGAACAUUACGUGAAAAUCAAAGAUGUUCAUCGAACAAAGAAUGAUCAGUACACAAAAAUGGAAGAACUACAGAACAUGUCGUCUGCCUCCGAUUCCUCACCCAAGAGUUCGAACAGCGCGGCGCUGAUAAGGUUCAAUCACGCCAAUCUGUCUGUCAAGGACGUUGGCGACAUCCUGAAGAAACUCAAACUCGGCAAGUUUGUCAAGAGGUUCAAAUCUGAAAUGAUUGACGGGGAAAUCCUGACAGACCUUACACGGAAUAUCCUCAUCAACGAGUUCAAUUUCUCCCACAUAGAAGCCAUCAGACUAGAAAAGUUCAUUGCGUCAGGACAUGUCCCAGCCUAAAACAACAACAACAACAACAAAACCCAACAACUUCUGUUCAAAAUGUUAUAGAGAUCAAGUGACCAAAUGAAAUGUGGUUAUGUACUUGAUGUCAAAUAUUUUGUACUUUAGAUAUUCUUGCUCUUUGUGUGUUCAAUUUCAAAGAUAACUUUGUCUGGAUAUUUAGAUAUUUCCUAGUAAGUUCACUAUAUGAUAAUACAUGUGUCUGACUGACUGCUACCGUGUUGUAGCUGUACUCAUAAUAUGCAACAUUUAUUGUGAUAAAAUUUGCAUAUUUGAAUAAUCCAG
rnacentral:misc_RNA from 1 species